CAGCAGCCGCGGGAAUGCGAAGGGGGCUAGCGUUGUUCGGAUUUACUGGGCGUAAAGGGCGCGUAGGCGGACUGAUAAGUCAGGGGUGAAAUCCCAAGGCUCAACCUUGGAACUGCCUUUGAUACUGUUUGUCUUGAGUUCGAGAGAGGUAAGUGGAACUGCGAGUGUAGAGGUGAAAUUCGUAGAUAUUCGCAAGAACACCAGUGGCGAAGGCGGCUUACUGGCUCGAAACUGACGCUGAGGCGCGAAAGCGUGGGGAGCAAACAGGAUUAGAUACCCCUGUAGUCCCUGUCUCUUAUAC
rnacentral:rRNA from 1 species